GAGAGAGGGCAUUGGAGUAACUGGCACAGCAAGGUUGCCGAGGCAGGACGUGACAGGAAUUGUCUUUUGCACAGUUAUGGAGAUGUUUCCUCCUCACCACAUCAGUAAUGGUAUCCACAGUUGUCUACCCACGGAAGAUCUGCUCUGGAAUGUAAGAGCACUGUGACCCCUGUGGAUACUCUACAGAAAAAGAGAGCGAUGGAGUAAUAGGGAAAAUAAAGAGACAAGGUAGGGACUCUGCCAUACUAGCCUCCAGUGGAUGCUGGUUCCAAAAUUGAGGAAUCAGGACAGAGAAGAGUCUUGACUGCGUGGAUCGGGAGGUGGCUUCCCAAAGGCAUGGGACGACCAGGAGGCAAGACAAGGAUGAACAAA